rnacentral:rRNA from 1 species
AACGAACGCUGGCGGCACGCCUAACACAUGCAAGUCGAGCGCUUCCCUUCGGGGAGGAGCGGCGGACGGGUUAGUAACGCGUGGGAACAUACCCUUUUCUACGGAAUAGCCUCGGGAAACUGAGAGUAAUACCGUAUACGCCCUUCGGGGGAAAGAUUUAUCGGUUAAGGAUUGGCCCGCGUUAGAUUAGAUAGUUGGUGGGGUAAUGGCCUACCAAGUCUACGAUCUAUAGCUGGUUUGAGAGGAUGAUCAGCAACACUGGGACUGAGACACGGCCCAGACUCCUACGGGAGGCAGCAGUGGGGAAUCUUAGACAAUGGGCGCAAGCCUGAUCUAGCGAUGCCGCGUGAGUGACGAAGGCCUUAGGGUCGUAAAGCUCUUUCACCAGGGAUGAUAAUGACAGUACCUGGAAAAGAAACCCCGGCUAACUCCGUGCCAGCAGCCGCGGUAAUACGGAGGGGGUUAGCGUUGUUCGGAAUUACUGGGCGUAAAGCGCACGUAGGCGGAUUAGUAAGUUAGAGGUGAAAUCCCAGGGCUCAACCCUGGAACUGCCUUUAAUACUGCUAGUCUUGAGUUCGAGAGAGGUAAGUGGAAUUCCGAGUGUAGAGGUGAAAUUCGUAGAUAUUCGGAGGAACACCAGUGGCGAAGGCGACUUACUGGCUCGAUACUGACGCUGAGGUGCGAAAGCGUGGGGAGCAAACAGG